rnacentral:tRNA from 1 species
GGGCGCGUAGCUCAGUGGUAGUAGCUCCUAGCUUAUAUCUAGGCGGUCGGGGGUUCGAAUCCCUCCGCGCCCA